AAGAAAAUAAUUCUAAUUUCCCUAACAACAGGAUACAUUUAACAACCCUCAAUAUCUUUCUAAGGAAGAGCCUCCUAGGCAAAUAUUUUCUUUGAAGUCCCUGGCGCUUUGGCUAUAGCCAUCUGUUAUUUGUGGAUCUGGUUUCUCUCCUGCCCUCUACCACUCCGUCGCAGCCAGCCUGGCCACAACAGGGAGUCAACGCCCAUCACACAAGGACCCCUCUAUCUUCUGACCCCAUCAAGGUGGCUGGUGGUGCUAAACUGCUGGUGCCAUUUGUUCCAUGGCUUGGGGACCCCUCCUUGGCUGUGACUUGGUGCCAGAGAAUCUUUACUUCUGGAGAAUAUGGCGGUGAUGUGUUUGCAUCAUUUCUCCUCCAGAAAGCAAGGCAUUCAUUGCAUAAGUAAUGCAGUGAUCCAGGCAGCCAGGGAGCUGGAAGCAGAAGAAAAGACGCCCUGCCACUCUCUCGCCUGCUCUUUCAGGUCCUAGCUGGCUAGAAGAUGCAAUUCCAUUGAGUAAUAGUGCCAGGCUGGGGCAGCUGAAUUGGAUCUU